rnacentral:pre_miRNA from 1 species
ACCACUGACCGUCGGUCUACCGAACAAUACCACCAGCUCGGUGGAAGAUUUUCCAUCCAUCGU